rnacentral:misc_RNA from 1 species
AAAUAAAGUGGAAGUCGUAAUGAUAAUCUAUUUAUUAAAGCCCAACAUAUUGAAAAAGAGUUGGGCUUCAGGUUGUUUUCCUAUCCACUAAGCCACAGUCUUCUUCUCUGAUGCUGAUGCUCAACCUUGUAAUAAACUCGAGCUUCAAUCCUCAGGUAAUCGAAAAUGCCAGCAAUAGCCAUGAACAGAGCAGUUCUUAGAAAUCUCUCACUCCAUAUUCGCAACCAUCUUCUCGCUCCUCCAAAAUCAUCGCCAUUUAUAUUUGUUUUAUGGACUCGUUCUACACUCAGAUUCUACUUGUUCGAGUCUGAAUCAUCCGAAGAAGCAAAUUUUUCUUGGAACCAAAAGCCACAUGGUGGAGUUGAGGAUGUCGAUAGCGUGAGCAACCAAGGUAAAGAAAAUGGGAUUAAUAGUUUGUGGUUCUAGUUGGUUUUUGUCUGGCUGGUGGGAAAAUGAUGGAAAUAUAUGGUUUAUUAAAAUUUGUGUAAAUUAUUGAAUUUUUAGAUGUGUUACGCUUGCAGAGCUAAAGAGGAGGAUGGAGAAGCACUACGAGGGGAAUCAAGAGGCAAUUCCAGCAAUAUUUGAAGCUAUAUUGACGAGGAAAUUGGCAGGGAUUAGAGA